rnacentral:rRNA from 1 species
UACAGAGGGUGCGAGCGUUGUUCGGAAUCACUGGGCGUAAAGCGCGUGUAGGCGGCCCUUUAAGUCCGAUGUGAAAGCCCGGGGCUCACCCCCGGAAGUGCAUUGGAUACUGAAGGGCUGGAGUACCGGAGAGGAGGGUGGAAUUCCUGGUGUAGCGGUGAAAUGCGUAGAUAUCAGGAAGAACACCCGUGGCGAAAGCGGCUCUCUGGAACGGUACUGACGCUGAGACGCGAAAGCGUGGGGAGCGAACAGG